rnacentral:rRNA from 1 species
AUAAAGGGGCAUAAAUACAUUAAAGGCACCAGAUCCUAUCUGUUCUUGAAAGCUAAGAAUGGUCAAUCCUGAUUAGUACUUGGAUGGGAGAUGGCCAACAAAUACCUGGGGCUGUAGACU